ensembl:lncRNA
AACCACGCGUCAUAAAGCGGUGGGGUAAACAACAGUGUGGUCCCAGGCCUGGAAAACAUUCUGUUUAAAUGUAAAUGACCCAAGUGGGGACAGGUUAGGGGCCACUGGCAGAAGCUCAUUCGGCUGAGCCGGGUGUCUUCCUGCUCUCCUGCCACUCUGGUUUCAGGGGGUGUGGCCUUUUGGGAACUGUCCAAUCCAGGCUCCGCUGAGGCAGGUGGGUGGGACGGUGCUCUGCGCUGGCGUAGAUGUCCCUUGUCACUCCUGCUAGGGUUGGGUUUGGGUGAUGCCUGCCCUAAAGUGUCCCUGAUGACUCUGCCGCGGUCCCUGUCGUGCUGUGACCUGCACUAGCCGUGGGGGUCCUAGGAAGGACUCGGGGGACCCAGAAGCCCUAGAAAUGCAAGUUUCCAGUGAACCAGCAGCAGGAGUCCUGGAUGAUCCCUGGUCACGCAGCCCCUCCCCGGCUCCUUCCCAACCCGCGCAGCAGCGAUCGCAGACUCUAGGGGAGGGAGUGAUGUUCUCUCCUACUGUUCCAGCGCCUCCAGGGCCGACUCAGUGGCCAUUGAGGAUUUGCUUGUGAACUUCACCCUGGAGGAGUGGGCUUUCCUCGAUUCUCCACAGAAGAAACUUCAUGGAGGAAAAAAUGGGAAGAUCAUGAUGUUGAAGAUCGGUACAGAAAUCAGGGUAGAAACCUAAGAAGUCACAUGGUAGUGAGACUCUGUGAAAGUAAAGAGGAAGUUCAAUGUGCAGAAAACUUCAGCUUUAUUCCAAGUCUCAGUUUGAACAGCAAAACUACUGGAGUGAAGCCACAUGAAUGAAGCAGUGCAUGUGCAAAAGUCUUUACACAUCAUUCAUCCCUUUAUAGGCACAUCAGGUGUCACACUGGACACAAGCCAUGUGAGUUUCAAAAAUAUCGAGAGAAGACACAUUAAGUGUAAGGUAUGUGGAAAUGCCUUCAGUGAACUCUAAUUUUUUGAGAAACAUGAAAGAAAUCAUAAUAGACAAAAAACCUACAAACAAAGAAUGUGGCUCAAAACGCUUCAAAGACAGAUGAUAACACACAUAUUAUCAUGUGCUCCUUAAACAGCUAUGGACUCUGGGAAAGGCUUCACUUGUUCCAGUUCCCUUCAAAUACAUGGAAGAGCCCACUCUGCAGAGAAACUCUAUCAAUGGAAACGUGGAAAAGUCAUCAGAUACUAUUUUAAAAAGCAUGAAAGAACUCAUACAGGAGAGAAAUUUUAUGAAUUGUAAAAAGUGCUACAAAGCCUUCAGUAUUCCCAGUUCUCUCUGAAACCUUGAAAGAACUCCUACUGGGGAGAAACCCCAUGAAUGUAAAGAAUGUGGGAGAGCCUUUUGUCAUCCAUCAGGUAUUUGAUCAUACAUGAAAACGCAUACUGGAAAUACACCUUAUAAACGUAAAGAAUAUGGAAAGCUUUCAUUUAUCCCAGUUUACUUGAAAUACAUGAAAGAAUUCAGACUGGAAGCCCUAUGAGUGUAAAAUAUGUGGGAAAGCCUUCAUUUGUUCCAGUUAUUUUCAAGUACGUGAAAGAAGUAAUACUGGAGAGAAACCUUGUGAAUGUGAGGCAUGAGGGAAAUCCUUCAUUUGUCACACAUACUUUUGAAGACACGUGAGUGUGCACACUGGAAGAAAACCAUAUAAAUGUGAAGAAAUGUGGGAAAACCUUCUGUCAUCUGAGUUCUUUCUGAAGGCAUGAAAGGACUCACUGGAUAAAACCUCUUGAAUGUAAACAAUGUAGGAAAGACUUCUAUUGGCCCACAUACUGAACUAUGAAAAAUCCUACCUAUGAGAAAUAUCAAUGUUAGUGAUUGGGAAAGCUUGGUGGGAAUAAAUGCAUGAAUAAUAUUCUGGCAAAAUUUUCAACAUGAAAGAGUUGUUAUGAAAGUUGUAAAUAUAUUGGUUUAUGAAGCUUCUUUCUUAAAGUACAUCUUUGGACUAUGGAUUUCUACAAGUUACAUUCAGAAAUGAAUAUUGAGGUGAGAAAAUUCUUCAAGUCAUCUUUCAACAAUGGAAGAUAAGAUUAAUGGGUAGUGAUUUUUCCUUAAAUCAAUCAUAUUUUCUCUGUCCAUUUUUAAGCCUGUUGGAUUCAUGGGUGAAUUGAAAUGGAUUUCUAAUGUGCAGUUAGAUUUAAUAUUUUUACAGUGUUUCAUUUGUUCUGUGUUAAGGGGCUACUGAAAAAUGACAAUUCGGUAUAUGUUAGGAUUUUCCUACUGGCCAUGUGAGAAUUCCUGGAUAUCCCUACUCCAUUGUGUAUCUUCUGCCUUUUCUUACUGAGAAACUCCUUGUUUGGGGUCAUAGAUCUUUUUUCCAUUUUCCAUGGCAUUAAACAGUUGAAAUACAUUUUUCUCUAUGGUGUGUUUAUCAAAGAGUAUCAUUUCAUGUGACUUGUUAUUUUCAUAUUUGGCCCUUUCCUCACUGUCCUUCCUUCUGACUGAAACUUGGUGACUAGGCCUUGAAUUAAGAAGAGAGCCAUGAGAUAGGACAAAAAAAUAAGGAGUUGGAGAUGUCCUCCCUGUGAGCAAUAUUUGAAACUAGAUUCUCCAUUAUCCAUCCCUUUUAUGGUUUCAUAUUGGAAUUCACCAAUAGCCUCACUUGCAUGACCUUUUGAAGUCAUAAGCAAAGAAGGGAUUAGGUUUUGGGACCACCAUAGAGGGAGAAGACAAAUACAUAGGAUCUUGGAGGAAAUCAUGUUCCACCUAUUUUACAAAUUCCUUGCUCUUCCAGUCAAGACUAUCUUCAAAACAACCACCAAGUCUGAUUUCCAUUUUCUUAGAGGUGUAGGUUUCCAACGAUGUCUUAUAAGUUCUACAUCAAAGAUACAUGAGACUCGGAUUUUUCAGUUAGCCUUCUUGUGUUCACCAGGAAAGCAAUUCAGACUUUCAUGAUUGGGCGUAUUCUGAUUCCCCUCUUCUCUAGAUUAUAUCUGUAUAAGGCUUAAUUUGUACACGAAACACCUUAUGCUGUUAAUAGUGCUGGUGACUAUAUUUUCCUUAUUCCCGAUGACAGCCACAAUAGUGCUAUCAAAAAAAAAAACAACAUUGGACUUUGUUUCUCUUCUGCAUUGUGCCUCGACCUAAUCCUUCCAUGUAAGAAUAAUCUCCUUCCUCACGUCAGGAAGACUGUGUUUCCUGUUACUUGUAGCUGAAUGUAAUGCCUCAAUAUGUUUUCAAUUAUUUUUGAUUAUAUGUGAUUAAAAGUAUGUUCAUUUUUUUGUGAAACAAACAUUUCUGUAGUUCUUUCAUAGAAAUAUUUUAUCAACUGUUUUAUAAGCCCUCCUGCUAACGAUUUUUUUUAGUUUCUUCAGAGAAUACAGUAAAAUAUCUCAUUCUAAUUGUAGAUUUUCAGAUAAACUGCAGUUUCAUUUAUUCACUAUACAUUAUGAGUCAGUAUUAUCAUGUGCAUACAAGUUAAAGUAUGUUUUUCCUCAGGCAUUUAUUAUAUUUUUUAUUCUUUCAUAGUUAUAAUUUUUGUCAUGAGACUAAUGUCUCAUUCAUCCUUAAUACCAAAAACUUAAAUUACAGUUUUUUUCAAUGCACUUUUGCCAGUAUUUUGCAGGAUUACACCUGUAGUCAAAGAGAGGGGUGUAAUGUUAUGGAGGAGGACACACACUUCUUUUCCUUUUGUGUCAUUUGUCAGAGGGUCAAACCUUAAAAACCUGCUCCAUUUCCCUGUACACACCUUAAAGGUCCAGCCCAUUCUUUUUUGCACAGGCCACUUGAACCAGCUUACCCUUGUUCUACUCUCCUUAAAAAGUACCUGUGAAUAGUAAACAUUUUUCUAUUCACUUGAUGCAUGCAGUAACAUCAGUCUUGACAUGCAAUCCCAUUUUAGGUAGGGUGUUAAUCUUGCCUCCAAAAGCGCUAUGAUAAAACGUAAGGUAACAGAUAAAUGUCUUUCGUGUGAUGAACAAGUUUUCAUUUUUAGAAGAUGAGGAUAAGAUAACCAAAGGCAGAGCUCCCAGUAUGAUGUUUUUAAAUGCACUGGUCACAAAAAAACACUGAAAAGAACACACAGUCACUAGCAAUAGAAUCAAUAAGUGAAAAUAGUAUAGUCUCACAGGGGAAAAAUACAGAGCAACUCAAAUGAAUGGUUGGUCUCUGUUUCAACAUGUAAAGAGCCUGAAGUGAGAUCGUUCUCGUCUUCUGAACAAGAAAAAUGCUACACAACUUGAGAAGGAAUACUUCGUCUUAGAUUCAUGAGAAACUUGAGGUUACGUGACAAACCAAUGCCCCCAAAAUGAAAGCAAAUACGGAGAAUAACCACACACCAGGAGAACAAAUGACUGGAGCCAUCAUCCUCUAAGAACAUAGAAAAUGUAAGAGAUGAAUUUUGGAGGCACAGUAUGGAUCACCUUGAAAGUUAAAACUGUAGGUGGGGUCAGCUUUAGGGGCCCUGGACAAUUUAUGAGUUUUUUCUUCAGGAGCUCAACUAGGUUCUCAUAGUGAAGACCAGAAAAAAAUGCUGCAUGUUUCAUGCAGGAAAUGGGGGAAAUAUUUUUAUAUACAGAGUAUUUUAUUCAUAACAUAAACCAUCCCUCAAAGGAAACUAAUCUGCUAAAGCCUUAUGUGAUUGGGGAAGUACAAACAGACAACUCCCAGACCCUUCACGUUUCCUCUCUGACAAAAGGGGAGGAAACAUAAAAGUUAAAACCCUCUUCUGAAUUCAUAGUCUGUGGAUUUUCUUAACACCAAAACAUGCAUAACAUAAUAGGACAUUUUCUCUCCCAAAUAUCUGACACCAUAUCAGCAGGGCCCAGGAUAAAAUCAGUGGAUUCAAACAGAGCUGCAAGGCACAGAGUCUACUUCAGAAUGAGCUUAUGGGGCUGGCUCAUCACACCAGGGAGAAAAGCACAAGGACACCACAGGGUAUUGAAGCCUCCAGCACCCACAGCUGUAGCAAACACUAAACGGAAUCUAACGCCUGUUCAAGAAAUAAUAAAAGUUCAUGCUGAAAGACUAUUUAUCCCAAAUUAGGAUGGUGUAACCAUGACAGAAGCUCUGUUGACAUACUCCUCAAUAAAACUGGUGAAAAUUAUUUAAUUACCAAUAUUUAAAGCCACUGGAAAUGGUCCUAAAGGCAAACAGCAAAUAAAGAACAUUUAUUCAAGAAAAUCUAUGAAGUUUUGUAAGAAACAUGAGAAUCUGGUAUUUGAACCAGAGCAGUGCCUCGCUAGCUCCUCCAGCUCAUGUUGGUGGAGACUCCCCCCUCCCCC